GCAGGUCCUCGCCCCUGUGUGUGUUUCCUGGCCCUUUGUUCGUUUCCCUUUCUAGCCUAUACAAUGUUUCUCAGUUAACUGCACUAAGUGGACAAAUCUCCCUCGGGAGACUACGGUUCCGCACCGGCAGAAAGAUACUUGUCAGCCCUAUAGCCCAGCUCUUCUGGCCUCUUUUGUCCACCCAGAGUGGGAGGUCUGAGAGAUAUUUAUUGACUCGAACUGGUGCAGGAGGUGGUCUGGGGCUGAUGCUGGCUUCUCUUUUCCAGGCCUCCUAUCCCUCUUGUAUCUGCCCACCGGCUUCUUUUCCCUGGCACGCGGUAGCUGUCCAUCCCUGGCUACAGAGCUGCUGCUUCUGCUGCAGCCGCUGUCGGUGCUCACCUUCCACCUGGACCUGCUCUUUGAGCACCACCACCACCUGCCCCUGGGCCUGCAGCAGGCUCCUGCCCCUUCAGGCCCCCCUCCUGCCCUCCAGCAGACUAUGCAGGCUGUGCUGCACUGGGGGGGACGUUUGGCUCAGACUCUCCGAGGGACUUCAGGGGAGGCCACUACAGACUCUUCGACCCCCUCCACGCGCCCUCCACCAGGCAGCUGGUGGGAUCAGCUGACCCAGGCUUCUCGAGUCUAUGCCUCUGGAGGCACUGAGGGCUUCCCUCUUCUUCGGUGGGGACCCAGGCGGAAUGGAACUACCGCUGAGGGUACACAGGAGGCACC
rnacentral:lncRNA from 1 species